rnacentral:rRNA from 1 species
CCUACGGGUGGCAGCAGUGGGGAAUAUUGCGCAAUGGGCGAAAGCCUGACGCAGCGACGCCGCGUGAGGGAUGAAGGUCUUCGGAUCGUAAACCUCUGUCAGCAGGGAAGAACGGUCACUGUGCUAAUCAGCAGUGAAUUGACGGUACCUGCAAAGGAAGCACCGGCUAACUCCGUGCCAGCAGCCGCGGUAAUACGGAGGGUGCGAGCGUUAAUCGGAAUUACUGGGCGUAAAGCGCUCGUAGGCGGGAUGUCAAGUCAAGGGUGAAAUCCCCGCGCACAACGUGGGAAGUGCCUUUGAAACUGGCAAACUGGAGUGUGUGAGAGGAUAGUGGAAUUCGAGGUGUAGGAGUGAAAUGCGUAGAUAUCUGGAGGAACAUCAGUGGCGAAGGCGACUAUCUGGCACAUAACUGACGCUGAGGAGCGAAAGCGUGGGUAGCAAACAGGAUUAGAUACCCGGGUAGUC